rnacentral:misc_RNA from 1 species
CAAAUGCGAUACGUAAUGCGAAUUGCAGAAAUCCGUGAGUCAUCAAAUCUUUGAACGCAAAUGGCGCUUGGGCAAACAAUAACCAAGCAUGUUUAUUUCAGUGUAUUAGGAAUCAUAAAUAAUAAUGUGAUUGAAUUUAUUUAUAAAUUCUCUCACUAAAUUCGUAAGUGCUGAAUCGUUCAGUGCUGACCGAAGUAGUCACUUCUUGCAAGUGAUCUCGGUUUGGCAAUACUGAAGAUUCACUAAAGCAUCUUAUUAAUUUUUAUAAUUCUCCAUUCAAUACCUGAAAUUAGCAAGAACACCCGCUGAACUUAA